CUCAGGCUUGGGAAGGUUUGAGACUUGCCUUGAACACACUCAGCUGGGACGGUCAGAGCAGGGUUCGGACUCAGGUCACGGGCCAACACAUCAAAAGGCACCCUGCGGGGAGAGGAAGGAUGACUCUGCACCUUGGCCCCCUCCUGCCUCCCACGGAAGAGCUGAAGUCUAGUCCCGGAUGUCGUGGCCAGCAGCAGCCCUGCCAGUCCUCAGGAUCCUCAAGGAUCCCGUCCUCAGAAGCCACUUCGUCACAAUAAGUCCACGUAUGCACAGAGCAAAAGACAACAUGAGGUGCUUCCUUUGUUCAUUGACCGAAACCCAGAAAUAAAUACGUAAGUGUAUACUUA